ensembl:lncRNA
AGCAAAUUUCACUUUCACCAAUUAAACGAUCCUUUCUGUUGCCCGUGAUGUUGGUGGGCCCGCGCUCAUUUGGGGCUUGCAUCUUACCAAUGGUUGUUCUAGCAGUCCGGUCUUGGCAGCUGGAAGAUCAUUGGAUUUCUCCAGCCGGGUGCACUUGAGCGCUGGAGGAGAAGAGACGAGCUCUGGCCUCAUCUCAGCGGUAGCAGUGUGUUCCCGAAGCUGAACAAGCUCAGGCCAGCUUCCGUCCACCCUCAGACACCAGCACCAGAGCACUUCUUGGGCAGCUCUGGCCAGACCACAAGAUGAGAACCAGUCUGACUUCAGCCUCCUUCCAUAAACUCCUCACAUCCUAGCCCAGGGAAGGGGUAGUGAGAUCCCCAUCCUAACUGUGUAAGAGGUGCAGAGGAUGGCGGGAGGGGUCUUCUGGAUUCCAAGAGCUUCACUUCACUUCCCAUGCAGAGUGAAGGCUGCUUGUUGUCACUAACACUCCAUCCCCACUCGACUCAACCGUGAACCUGGAUACGUUCCCAGCUCUGCCACCUACCCUUUGCAUGGCCCUGGAAAACCCCCCUUCUCUCUGGGUCUUGGUUUUGCCAUCUGAAAAGGGAGAUAUUGGAUUGAGUAAACUCAGAGGGCCUCUCCACCUCCGUCGGUCUGUAAGUCUUGGAGAUUUCCAAAUGAUUAGGAUAAGAGACUGGGGCCAGGAAUCCCAGAUCCAACCACCACCUGGGGAAUUAAGGUAAAAAGUCAUGUAUGGAUGUUAGAGUUGGACUAUAAAGAAAGCUGAGUGCCGAAGAAUUGAUGCUUUUGAACUGUGGUGUUGGAGGAGACUCUUGAGGGUCCCUUGGACUGCAAGGAGAUCCAACCAGUCCAUCCUAAAGGAGAUCAGUCCUGGGUGUUCAUUGAAAGGUCUGAUGUUGAAGCUGAAACUCCAAUACUUUGGCCACCUG